rnacentral:rRNA from 1 species
CUGAGGGAAAGUUGCAAAGAACUCUGAAGAGAGAGUUCAAGAGGACGUGAAACCGGUAGGAAGGAAGCGAAUAGAAUCGAUGAAGAUUGGGCGCGAUUCAGCCGUGCAUGCCAAGGCGACGGCUUUAGUAUGCACGGUUCAUUUCGAGCUCAUGGCGCCGAGUUGUAUGUUUGGUCGCAACGACGUUGUACGUUGGGGCCCACUGUUAGCAGUGGUGUCCCUCGUACGGCUAAGGUGUGUGCCAGAUAUGCAGAGGCUGUUGGUCCUUACGGAUCAUCACUCGGUGUGAAAGUCGAUCACCUAUUCGACCCGUCUUGAAACACGGACCAAGAAGUCUAACAUAUGCGCGAGUCAUUGAGCUGGGCAAACUCAAAGGCGUAAUGAAAGUGAAGCUGGCACUUGUUAGUUGACAUGUGAUCGGAAGGGUUCGUCCCGACCGCGCAACAUGGCCCCAUUCAGUUCGCUGUGUGGAGGUGGAGCGCAUAUGCUAGGACCCGAAAGAUGGUGAACUAUACAUGAGCAGGAUGAAGCCAGAGGAAACUCUGGUGGAAGUCCGAAGCGGUUCUGACGUGCAAAUCGAUCGUCUGACUUGUGUAUAGGGGCGAAAGACUAAUCGAACUAUCUAGUAGCUGGUU